GAGCUUUAUUUGGCAGUGCUAAAAAAACCUGGGGACAAAUGGCUAAGCGGCGGUGGAAGUGCAGGCUGCACAAUCAAUAGGCAGAGAGCUGGAUAGAGGCUCCCUUUGCUGCCGGAUCGACAAUCGACAGCUGAGAGACUAUUUUUUGCAAUGGUUGACUAAAUAUGGUCAGGGAAGAGAGAGGCACAAGAGAGCCUGUUUGCCUGGGAGUGCAUGUUUCAAAUGCUUAGCUGCCUAUAAAGCCGUAACAGUUUUGCUCGUGCCCUCUAAGUGGGAAAUACGGUUAGUGUCUUCUGUAGUGUGUCUGCGGGAGCCCUGACCUCGCUAGCAGACUUGACCUCUGAAGAUGGAAAGUAGCUUCAACACAGACCUGCCUACAGUUAAGCCUGGAAACAUAACCUCAAGCAAGAAAAGAUGCAGUGCAAUAUCUAAGGAACUAGAAGAAACCAAUAUUUGCCGGGGGAGGGGGGAAACGAUCGCUAUUUUUUUGGUGCCUUUUUUUAUUUUUUCUUUUGGAAGCAACUCCAACUUUUGGGGGCUUGGUUUUGGUCUUCUGUUGGGUUUUUAUUUUUCUUCUUGGCUGUGAUUAUUUUCAUCUGACAGUGGGCUAAGUUCACCUUCCCUUGGCUUCCUAGCAUCUAUCCUUGGAGUCUUAACUCUCAGUCCAGCAGACAUAAGUUUUAUCUAUUUAAGGUGGUGAGGUACUGUAUGCACCGACAUUCGCCCCCCCUUGCCUCCCCCUCCCAUGUAACGAAGAGCUGAUUCAGCGAAUAGAGUGAGAGAGCACUCAGGAUGAGAUGGCUGCUGCUGAUGUGUCUCUAGGUCAUUACCUCUCUUCCAACUGCAAAUGCUGCAUGAUACUAAGCUUACAGGACACUGAAGAGGCAAACAGUAUCCCAGCAUGAAAAUCUGCUAGAAGACCUGGGAGGAAGCUGAAGAUUUUUACACUGGACUACAACUAAAAAUUCCAAGAAAAGACACUGCAAAGCUACCAGCCAUUCAGCUCCUCUCCACUUAAACAUGAUUACUUAGAACAAACAGCAAGAGACUGAAAAAAUAUGGAAAAGCACUUCUGACACCAAUGCCAUCCCAAAAUAAUGAACUAUAACCAGCUUUAAGACACUAUGCAGGUAAAUUGCAUUGCAAAAUUCAGUUAGCAUAGUAAGUUUAUUUUCUAUCAUCAGUUAAUCAUAGCAUAGUUCUUCCAAAGAAUUGUCAUCCCGAGUUUUACCUAAUGACAGCAACAGAAUUCAGCAAAAUACUUUUCAGGUUCAUCUGACAGGCAGACAAGCAACUCUGUGUGUACCUGCUCAGAGCACAUACUUCUUUAUGUACCCAUAUGAACAUACAAUGCUAUGGAAUGUAAAGAAGUAUGUAUUUUUGGCAGGCAAGGAACGACCAGUAAGAGGAAACUAAACAGCUGCUGGAAGAAACAGGUUUCCCUCUUGUUUGAAUGACAUUCAUGUGACAAAUUGGCCUGCUAAGGCUCAGCUGGUAUUGCCAAAAUAACCCAUACUUGUUAGUAACAAAUCACAAAACAUUAAGUGACUAUAAAAGUGGCUAGGAAGAAUUGUUAACAGCUGAUAAGCAGAAUAUUAGUUGCAAACAGAAUUCAAAACAAGGCUGGAAAUGUAAUCUUGAAAUGCACCAAUUAAGACUGCAGCAUAGCUGCCUAACUUAUUACCAGUACUCCUCACUUAAUAGAUCCUAAAGUAAACUUAAAAGACUGAUUAUCAAAAUGUAUCUCAUCAAAAACAAGCCACUGUUCUAGUAAUUACAGCCUGUUCUGUGUAUUUCAGAUGGUAGUACCUAAAUUUGCAUCUACCAUAGAAUAUUUACUCCACAGGUUGCAACUGAGACAAGUAUUAACAGCUAAGAAAUUACAGCUGUGAUUUAGAGAAAAUAAUUGCCAAAAUAACUGAGUUUAAUAACUUCUGCAAUUCAAUAAGACUUAAGUUAGAAUUUUCUCCAAAUCAGCACUUAUUAUGCUCACUGAGCUCUUCGAUACAAAGUGCAGUGUCAGGUUUAGCACAGAAAGUGACAAUACAGAGAUUUCUAGGUCACAGUUGCUAGUCAGCGGAUUAAAGCUAUUGAUAGAUUCCUAAAUGAAAACACAAAUGACAACUACAACCUCAAAGGUAAGUUUUCUUAAACACUAUUUUCAAAUAAGCUGUAUUUAUUUUAAAUUCAAAUUUAAGAAAACUGGCCUUGAAAAUAUGACUUCAUAGCAUCCAGAAAAUUUUAAGAACUACAUCAGAAAUAGUUCAGCAUCUGUUUCAAGUUCUAAAAGCGGUAUUAAUUAAAACAUACGGGUGCAUACUAUCCCUAAGUAAAGACACUCAACAUCAAAUUCAGGAACAAGGG